UACGGAGGGGGCUAGCGUUGUUCGGAAUUACUGGGCGUAAAGCGUACGUAGGCGGCUUUGUAAGUUAGAGGUGAAAUCCCGGAGCUCAACUUCGGAACUGCCUCUGAUACAGCACGUCUUGAGUCCGGAAGAGGUGGGUGGAAUUCCUAGUGUAGAGGUGAAAUUCGUAGAUAUUAGGAAGAACACCGGUGGCGAAGGCGGCCCACUGGUCCGGUACUGACGCUGAGGUGCGAAAGCGUGGGGAGCAAACAGG
rnacentral:rRNA from 1 species